rnacentral:rRNA from 1 species
CAGCAGCCGCGGGAAUACGUAGGUCCCGAGCGUUGUCCGGAUUUAUUGGGCGUAAAGCGAGCGCAGGCGGUUUCUUAAGUCUGAUGUGAAAGCCCCCGGCUCAACCGGGGAGGGUCAUUGGAAACUGGGAAACUUGAGUGCAGAAGAGGAGAGUGGAAUUCCACGUGUAGCGGUGAAAUGCGUAGAGACGUGGAGGAACACCAGUGGCGAAGGCGACUCUCUGGUCUGUAACUGACGCUGAGGAGCGAAAGCGUGGGGAGCGAACAGGAUUAGAUACCCGCGUAGUCCCUGUCUCUUAUAC